UACGUAGGGGGCUAGCGUUGUCCGGAAUCAUUGGGCGUAAAGAGCGUGUAGGCGGCCCGGUAAGUCCGCUGUGAAAGUCAAGGGCUCAACCCUUGAAUGCCGGUGGAUACUGUCGGGCUAGAGUCCGGAAGAGGCGAGUGGAAUUCCCGGUGUAGCGGUGAAAUGCGCAGAUAUCAGGAGGAACACCAAUGGCGAAGGCAGCUCGCUGGGACGGUACUGACGCUGAGGAGCGAAAGCAUGGGGAGCGAACAGG
rnacentral:rRNA from 1 species